ACCCGUAAUCCGGGUUGCGGACAGUGUCUGGUGGGUAGUUUGACUGGGGCGGUCUCCUCCUAAAGAGUAACGGAGGAGCACGAAGGUUGGCUAAUCCUGGUCGGACAUCAGGAGGUUAGUGCAAUGGCAUAAGCCAGCUUGACUGCGAGCGUGACGGCGCGAGCAGGUGCGAAAGCAGGUCAUAGUGAUCCGGUGGUUCUGAAUGGAAGGGCCAUCGCUCAACGGAUAAAAGGUACUCCGGGGAUAACAGGCUGAUACCGCCCAAGAGUUCAUAUCGACGGCGGUGUUUGGCACCUCGAUGUCGGCUCAUCACAUCCUGGGGCUGAAGUAGGUCCCAAGGGUAUGGCUGUUCGCCAUUUAAAGUGGUACGCGAGCUGGGUUUAGAACGUCGUGAGACAGUUCGGUCCCUA
rnacentral:rRNA from 1 species